GAUGAACGCUGGCGGCGUGCCUAAUACAUGCAAGUCGAGCGCAGCGGGGACGGGUGAGUAACACGUGGAUAACCUCCUCUCAGCCUGGGAUAACUUCUGGAAACCGGAGCUAAACCGGAUACUUAUAGAUGGAUCCGCGCUGCAUUGGCUAGUUGGUAAGGUAACGGGUUACCAAGGCAACGAUUCAUAGCCGACCUGAGAGGUGGAUCGCCGACACGGGAAGUGAGAAGCGGUCCAGACUCCACCGGGAGGCAGCGGAAGGAAAACUUGCGAAAGGGGCGAAAGCCUAACGGAGCAACGCCGGGGGAGUGAGGAAGUUCGUCGGAGCUUAAGACUCUGUUAUUAGGGAAGCGGUACCUAAUCAGAAAGCCACGGCUAACUACGUGCCAGCAGCCGCGGUAAUUC
rnacentral:rRNA from 1 species